rnacentral:rRNA from 1 species
UGAAUAUUGCACAAUGGGGGAAACCCUGAUGCAGCGACGCCGCGUGAGUGAAGAAGUAUCUCGGUACGUAAAGCUCUAUCAUCAGGGAAGAAAAUGACGGUACCUUACUAAGAAUCCCCGGCUAACUACGUGCCAGCAGCCGCGGUAAUACGUAGGGGGCAAGCGUUACUCGGUUUUACUGGGUGUAAAGGGAGCGUAGACGGCAGCGCAAGUCUGGAGUGAAAUGCCGGGGCCCAACCCCGGAACUGCUUUGGAAACUGUGCAGCUCGAGUGCAGGAGAGGUAAGCGGAAUUCCUAGUGUAGCGGUGAAAUGCGUAGAUAUUAGGAGGAACACCAGUGGCGAAGGCGGCUUACUGGACUGUAACUGACGUUGAGGCUCGAAAGCGUGGGGAGCAAACA